AUUGAACGCUGGCGGCAGGCCUAACACAUGCAAGUCGAGCGAGCGGCGGACGGGUGCGUAAUGUCUGGGGAUCUGCCCGAUAGAGGGGGAUAACUACUGGCAACGGUUACUAAUACCGCAUACUAACGGAUGAACCCAUAUGGGAUUAGCUAGUAGGUGGGGUAAAGGCUCACCUAGGCGACGAUCUCUAGCUGGUCGGAGUGGAUGAUCAGCAAAACUGGGACUGAGACACAGCCCAGACUCCGACGGGAGGAAGCAGUGGGAAAUAUUGCAGAAUGGGCGCAAGCCAGAUGCAGCAAUGCCGCGUUUAUGAGGAAGGCCUUAGGGUUGUAAAGUACUUUCAGCGGGGAGGCGUUACCCGCAGAAGAAGCACCGGCUAACUCCGUGCCAGCAGCCGCGGUAAUUC
rnacentral:rRNA from 1 species